ACUCGUCUGAGCGAGUAUAAAUAGGCUUUUGGCUCAGAGCGAUUCCUGGAGCGCUGUUUCCAGGGAUGUAGCA
rnacentral:ribozyme from 2 species